rnacentral:lncRNA from 1 species
UGAGGGUACAGUGGGAGGACCGUGUCCAGGGCCAUGAAAGGUGGUAUGAAAAUGACAUAUAGCUAGUAGAAAUUACACUGAAUGAGCCCAUUGGUCCAUGCUGUCUACACUGACUGUCCACAGUGUCCCAUCAUGUUAAGCUGGACGGUAGCUAGAAUAAUGGGGAAAGCCAUGGAACAAGACUGGAAUGGAAUGUGGGAAACCUGCUUAUUCCUAUGGUAGAUAUAUCCUGUCUUAAGGAAGUUGUGUCCUAUUUUUUCCAUAGUCCUGGAACACUUCUUGAAAACCAGGCUUUGGAGAAAGAGAUUAAUCCAAUUCACCCAAGGUAUUAUGAAUCAUUAACUGGCUAGUAAUAUGUGGUUUGUCUUUAUGACUAUUUAAUGAAAAUCAUAUUUUAUAUGAUUUUUUAAAAACACACACACAUGAAUUUCCAGGGAUAUUUGAUCCACAAACCAUCCACUAAAACCUUUUCUUCCUGGAAUCUACUGUGCGGUGAGUAGUAAAAUGGAUCAUAUUUUUCUUAUGCAAUCAGAGCACUUUCCCCAUUACUUUAAGUUUCCAGAUUCCACCAGUUUAUAUACCAUCUUUUCCUUUUAAGUAUCUGUACUUUACUGUAAGAUCAGAGGGAGCCUUCUGAAAAUAGGAAUGAAGUGUCAUGCCACCUUAGCCUUUGAACAGCUUUGAAUUAUUUCCCUGUAAUCAUUACUGCAGAUUAAUGGCAUCAAAGAGCGGUUGUGCAGCAGGAUUUUCUUUUUUUUGAAAAGCUUCUAAUAAAUAUAUCAUUAUAGCAAAUCAUACCAUCCAUGUAGGGUUUCUUCCCUUGGCUUGCAAAAUGUAUGAAUUGCUUUUUACAAAUUUUAAACGAUGUGAUUCUAGCAACCCAAGGGCAACCUCAAAGUCGACCAGAACAUCCUUAAGACAUUUGCACCUACGCAGCAAAGGUGACCUAUGAGCAGAAAUAUGUUUCUCUUCAUAGAGUGCUCUUCCAGAUAGGAUGCCAGUAUACCCUUGAGUGCUGUGUAUUUGUGGUGGGGGCCUCUUGCAUCCAGCCCCUGGGGCAGGAGAGAGCACUGCAUGGCCACCAAUCAGAUGCAGAGUUGGUGCUGUCAAUUUUGAACGGGCUGAUAAUUUCUUGGGUAGGGGAGAAUGAUGGAUCAAGGUCCUUCACUCUUUCUAACAAGUUUUUGAUGAGGGUACAGUUGAGUCCAACAUCCUGAUACCAACACAAAACAAGACAAAAUUCUGGAUAGGCUUCUCACAGUCAUCUGGUUGGCCACUGUGAGAACAGGAUGCUGGACUAGAUGGGCCAUUAGCCUGAUUCAACAAUCUCGUCUUAUGUUGUUGGGCUCCUGACCACUGGUCAUGUUGACUGGAGCUGAUGGGAAUUAGAAUGCAACAACAUCUAGAGGGCAUAAUUUGGCUGCUCCUGAUUUAUGCUGUUAGAAGAGAGAUCUGAGGAUCAAAUGAAAUGAGACACCAUUAAUGCAAUUAGCAAUUGUGUGAAUGAAUAGUUUUGAGAGUAUAAAUAGCAGGUGUGGAUGGCUCACUCUGGCACAUAUGGAAGUCCCACCCCUCUGAUACAGCCCCCCUUCCUCCAUGGAGGCCACAACAGGGUCAAAUGGUUAAAGCUUCCAUUUUCUCCUUCCCCAGGGUUAUAAUCACACCUGCUAUUUACACUUUAGAAAUCAUUCACCCAAUUGCUAAUUACACAAAUGUUACCACACUUAAGAGCUAGCUGAAGAGUCUUUGGGGAUCCAAGAGACUUCUUAGAAUUUAGAUGAGGCAAAUAACUUCAUGGAGUAUAUCUGAGGAAUUAGUAGAGGCCCUGAAGAAUUGGAUGGGAAGGCAUGAGGGAGAUUCCAUCAGCCUGAAUGUUGCUACAUUUAUAUCUCUUCUUCUUCCUGAUGUGGGCUCCCUGGUUUGGAAGCUCUAGUUCAGGCACAGGCAAACUCGGCCCUCCAGAUGUUUUGGGACUACAACUCCCAUCAUCCCUAGCUAACAGGACCAGUGGUCAGGGAUGAUGGGAGUUGUAGUCACAAAACAUCUGGAGGGCUGAGUUUGCCUAUGCCUGCUCUAGUUCAUGCAGAAUGUAGUAAUCUGACUCCUGAUGGAGUGUUACUCCUUUGCUAAAACACCUGCAUUGGCCAGGCUGAAGGUUUCUGUAUUAAUCUACACAGCGGUCAACAACUUGAGCCAGGAUACCUGAAAGAUUGCCUAAACCCCCUUAUCCUAGUUUGAUCACUGAGAUUAUCCAGAAGAGUGCUUUUAUUUGUCUCCUGGGUUAUGGAGUUCCAGCUGGCAUCUUCUAGGAGUUGGGCAUUUAGUGUUGUUGGUCCCAUGCUGUGGAGCACUCUUCCAGAAGAGAUUUAUCAGACACACUUGCUUUUGGUUCUUGAAGACCUUUUUGUGUAGACAAGCUGAUGUAACUGUUUAAUUUUUUUGAUCAGCCAAUCAUUUUAAUCAGAGCUUUUUUCAGCUGGAAUUCACUGGAAUUCAGUUUCAGCACCUUUUAGGUGGAUGCCAUUUCCAUCAUAAAACAAACAAGGGAGGCGUUCUGGGUGAGUUCUAAAAAAGAGCUCUGAUUUAAACAAUCAUGUUUUACUAUUUUUUAUGUUUUCUUUAAUAUUUUAUUGCAUGUAGUGUUGUUCACCACCAUGUUAUAUUGUAUUAAUUGGUGGUAUAUAAAUAUUUUUCUGAAUAUACAGUGGUACCUCAGUUUUUGAGUGUCUCAGAAGCCGAACCUUUCGGUUUUCGAACAUCGAAAACCCGGAAGUAAUUGCUUCUGUUUUCGAACACACCUUGGAAGUUGAAUGGCUUCCACUGCAUGUUUUUCAAUUUUUCCAUUUGAACUUGUAGCCAGCCCUUUGUGCCUUGGUUUUUGAACAUUUUGGAAGUCAAACAGAGGUACCACUGUAUCACCAUCACCAUAAUAUUUACAUCUCUUUCCCAAGGGAGCCCAAGUUGGUGUCCCUGUUCCAUUAUCUCUCACAACAUGGAUGGAUGUUGUGGAUGGUCUGAGUGACUGGCUCAAGGUUUCCCAGAGAGCUUCAUGAAUGAGCAGAGUUUUGAACCAUGGUCUGCAAGGUCCUAGUCCAACCGUUACCCUAUGCUGAUUCACACCAGACCAUGCUGAACAUUUUAGUUUUGGAAAUCACUUCUGUUACUAAUAUGCUAGCAAUUUUGACUCAGCCAUCAUUGUUAGAUUUUCUUUUCUACAAGUCUGAACAUUUUCAAUACUUUGUCCUUCACCUUCAUGCAACGCUUUUGUGAGACUUCGCCCCUUUCUCAACUACAGUAGCAUUUAAUUGAAUGCUCUGAAUAAUCUUGCCUUCAUUUACCGCUACUGCCAAGGGAGAAAAUAAUUUCCAG